GUGGCCAUAAAAGAAGUAGCGUUGAGCACAUGCGGUCUUUCCAGCGUGAGGGCUCGGCGGGAAGCGGCGGUGGCGGCGACCCGGAGCCCCCGGCCCGAUCCGCGGCAGUGCCCGGCGUUGUGGGCCGCUAGAAGGCGGUGUUCCCUGUCCUGGGGAUUGCGGUAAGUGGGGCUGAGCCCUGUGGGGAAAUGCUCCUCAGCCCCCUGGGGAAAUGCUCCUGCUCUACGACCAGGCGGCUCUUAAAACACAAAGAAGCAUCUGCAAAAUGGGCUGGAGGAAAGAAUUCACCGACUUUUAUUCUCCCUCAUGGGUUAGCGCAAGGUGAAUAUCCUGCACGGUGGUGCGUGCAGUAGUGUGAGUAAGUGAAGGGAUUUGCACUCUUAACUCUAGUGCUGCAGUGUGUAGAUGGAGAAUUUAAAUUUUUUUUCUAUUUAGCUCUGUGGACGAUAACAAGCUACUCCCACUCUCAAGACCAGCCUUAAUUGUGAAUGUUUUAAUGUUGUAUUUCUACUUCAGCUUCUAUAUGAAGCAAAUUUUGUAGCUUACAGGUGAAUAAAAGUUUCGAAAAGUC